rnacentral:rRNA from 1 species
GACGAAGGAUGCAAGCGUUAUCCGGAUUCAUUGGGUUUAAAGGGAGCGUAGGUGGCCUUAUAAGUCAGUGGUGAAAUCUCUCGGCUUAACCGAGAAAUUGCCAUUGAUACUGUAGGGCUUGAGUAUAGAUGCCGUUGGCGGAAUAUGACAUGUAGUGGUGAAAUACAUAGAGAUGUCAUAGAACACCGAUUGCGAAGGCAGCUAACGAAACUAUAACUGACACUGAGGCUCGAAAGUGUGGGGAUCAAAACAGG